GUCUAGUACGACAUGACCUAACCCACCAUUCCUCAAGAUGCAUGGGAUAUACCUCAAGACUCCUCAGUUUUCUGCUACUUAGGUAGUCCACACAGCUGAGUGACUGGCUUUCUUCAAACCAAGGUGAAAGAAAAAGAAAUGUGGAAGAGAGGGAGAGACAAAGAGGGAGCUAUUGAUCGACCCUUGGGCCAAACACUUGUGACUGUUCACAUGUCCAGCAUCGUUACUCUUGUUUGAUAAUUCUCCUCAUUUUCCUGAGUCUGUCCAUUCAGUAUUCCGGGUUUUCUCAGUUACAGAAGAUUUGACCAUGUAGCGGGAAGAGUGUGCACUCUGGUGGUCUAUACUGGAGCUGCAAAGAGAAUAAAACAACCAGAAUUGAAAUGGCUAAAAGGGAAAAAAGACGGCGAGUACAAUCAUCCCAGUCCGAACGAACAGACGAAUUUGCAUAUUUGGAAGUCACAUUAAUGCCUAGGUGUACGGAAAGUCUUGGCUUCAACUGUAAUAAUUGGAGACACAGCCUUCCUGUAAUGACAUCUGCAUCAGAAAAGUUGCAUGAAGAUUUGAACUGGAGUCCACUGGAUCUCCACCUCAGCAGUACAACAGACGGACAGCGUUCCUCCAUCACGCUGCAUGCGUCGGACGUUGACUUUCGUCACAUAAGGUCACAAACGGCCGCUCAUCCAGAGAUCUCCAGCAAGCACACGUCUUGCAAAGUGAGAAAAAUAGUUAUGCCACGUCUCUGUUAACAUUAGAUCCUCUCAGGGUGAAGAAGUGAGUCAUCGCCUAGCAACUCUCCUCAUGGCCACAAGCGUCCUAUUUUCCAAAGACGUAGCAUUUUUCACUUCACUAUGCCCUUAUAAAAGGACUCGGCUGAAAAACCAUGACAACAUGUGCAAUUAG
ensembl:lncRNA